UUUGAGCUUCUGACUUUUCACGUUGAUAAGUAUUGGACUGUGAAGUCUUGAUAUAUUGCAUAGAGAAGGGGUACAUAUAUAGACUUAACCCCAACCCUAAUGGGCAGACAGCCUAAAAGUGGUGCCAGCCCAUACCAGCCCAUACCAGCCCAUACACACAGUCUAACAACCCCCGGCAAUGCGAUUGGGAUAGAGAUCGGUGUUGACUCCGAGAAGACGAUAGCCCCUGAAUGACGAGGUAGCCAAAGUCGAGGUGGUCGUGGUCGAGAGAAACGCAGCAGUAGCCUGUUAUUCGGGAGGGGUCGACAUUCGAGCGUCAACGGUCGGCAGGGCGACACAAAAGGGACAACAGCUUCGUGGGCCUUCUGGCUUCUUUUCACGUCCGAUAGUCGAGAAGCCUGACCAGGUAGGCUGACAGUAGAGCACACGUCUGCGCCGGUCAGGGCCCUUGGCAGAAUGAGCACCGAGCCAUGGUGUGUGGCGCCACACGAGCUUGCUGUUGCACCCUGCUCCCGCAGACAGCUAGCUCGAUGUACCACAUCUUAGGGGCCAUCUGCCACAGCACGAAACGGCCAGGCGCCGCCAUGUCCAGCGUUGUUCUUGGUGAGGCGGUCGGCGGUCUCGAACUCGGUGGCCACCAUGCCCAUGGCGUAGGUGCUAGGCAGGGAGGCCAGAAGCUUGUGCCCUCCGGAGGCCGCAAGGUACUGCUGCAGGAUGUACUGCACCGAUGAAGUCUCGAUGGGAGUGUCCUUGACAUUGAGGUGUGGUAGUGGCUCGGUGGCGCAGACCAUGACGCCGAGGAGCAUCCUGAGGUCGUUGCGCGCGCGAGCGCCAAGGACAGAGCCCGCGCACCCAGUGGCCCUAGUUCGCCCGCUUCACUGUGCCCUUUAGGGCCUGGAUCCGUUGAUGGUGGCAAGCAUGUUUGCUCGUGCGCGGUGCAUUGGUGAGAAGAAGGUGAUCCUUUCCCCUCCCGACAGCCGCCUCACCAAGAACCGCGACACUGGACGCGGCGGCGAGCCUGGUCGCUUCGUGCUGCGGCAGAUGGCCCCUGAGAUGUGGUACAUCAAGCUAGCUGUUCGCAGAAGCAAGGUGCACGCAGGGUGCAACGGCAAGCUCGUGUGACGCCACACACCAUGGUUCGGUGCCCAUUCUAUCAAGGGCCCUGUUCGCCCGCUUCCACGUGCCCUCUAGGGCCUGGAUCCGUUGAUGGCGGGAAGCAUGUUUGUUCGUGCGCGGUGUAUUGGUGAGAGGAAGGUGAACGGGGAGGAUUGCUUCAUCCUGAAGCUGAGCAGACCCUGAGACCCUCAAGGCAUACAGCCAGGGCUUGCGCAGGGGGAGGAUGCCACGGUCCGCUGGGGAAGUGACGGAGGGGGGCUGCAGCGGUAGUGAGGCCGAGGAGCGUGGCCGGGGCUAUGGAGGAUGACAGCGACACCGGAGGGGAGGGGUUGGCUGCAGGCGCACCGCCAAAGGUGAGGGGAGCCGCGGUCGUGCCGCUUAGGUCAGGUUCGGCCCAGGUGGCGUCGUCGGCGUCGGUGGAGGGGAGGCUGUCUGCGCAGAAGGGUGCGUCCGCGCAGGCGAAGGGGAGAAGGCCCGCGCCGCCGCUGGUGGCAGGCACGCCGGCAUGAGGGGCCGCGCCGGCCUAAGGAGUGGCGCCGUCGCGAGCUGGUGGCCGCGAAUCCGGGGCUGGCGGCUGGAGCUUGGGGCGGCGCGGAAGCAGGUCACCAGGCGUGGAGACCUCGCUGGGUGAAGCACGACAUCGCGCCCCCCCCCCCCCUGCCUCGCCUGGAGUUGAGCUCCGCUGGGUUGAGGCCGAGCGUUGAACAGAGCUCGAGGAGGAGGCGAGGUGCCGAGCGGAAGGCUCACGGUGAGGAGCUCAGAGGGAGGGGCCCUGCGCGUGCCGGAAUGCCGGAUGCUUGGGGGAGCUCAUCCCAACAGGGUCUAAAUACAUGGUAACCUUCAGGGCAACUUAUUAGUGCCGCUUCUGUACACAGCUUCAGCCUAGAAGGGAGGACCAAGAAUUAAUUAAGUCUUCAUGUCGUCAUGUGGAGUUGGUGCUACUACACUUCUUUCGCAAUUUUGGACGGGGUCUUCGUUACGUUUAACUUUGUAGUAGCUUUGAUUUAGUAGUUGGUAUUCUUUGGUGAGGUCGUAUGAUGGAUCAAGGCAAUAUGUUGCCUUCAGUUGUAAUAAUUGGUCGUAACCUUGUUUGAGGCCAAAGUCAAACUUUGUUUCCAUUAUCUAAAAAAAUCUAGAAGAUGGAUAUUACUAAUCUAGGUAAAGCGUAGGGGAGUUCAGUAGGAGCCAUCAACAAGAAAAUAUAAGCCACCCUUCUACAUAUCUAGUCUCUCUGACUCCAAUUUAUAUGCCCAUGCUCAUAAUUAGUGUAAGCGGAAUUUUACUUCCUCUGUGAUUGUAUAUAUUUUUGUAUA